GCCAACUAAGUCCGACGUGAAAUCCCCAGGCUCAACCUGGGAACUGCGUCCGAUACUGGAUGGCUUGAAUCCGGGAGAGGGAUGCAGAAUUCCAGGUGUAGCGGUGAAAUGCGUAGAUAUCUGGAGGAAUACCGGUGGCGAAGGCGGCAUCCUGGACCGGCAUUGACGCUGAGGAGCGAAAGCCAGGGGAGCAAACGGGAUUAGAUACCCCGGUAGUCCUGGCCCUAAACGAUGAAUGCUUGGUGUGACGGGUAUCGAUCCCUGUCGUGCCGAAGCUAACGCAUUAAGCAUUCCGCCUGGGGAGUACGGUCGUAAGGCUGAAACUCAAAGGAAUUGACGGGGGCCCGCACAAGCGGUGGAGCAUGUGGUUCAAUUCGACGCAACGCGAAGAACCUUACCCAGGCUCGAACGGCAAUUGACAUCCGGCGAAAGCCGGCUCCCGCAAGGGCAGUUGUCGAGGUGCUGCAUGGCUGUCGUCAGCUCGUGUCGUGAGAUGUUGGGUUAAGUCCCGCAACGAGCGCAACCCUUGUCCGCUGUUGCCAUCAGGUUAUGCUGGGCACUCUGCGGAGACUGCCGGUGAUAAACCGGAGGAAGGUGGGGAUGACGUCAAGUCAGCAUGGCCUUUAUGUCUGGGGCUACACACGUGCUACAAUGGCCGGUACAAACCGUCGCGAUCUCGCAAGAGGGAGCUAAUCGGAGAAAGCCGGUCUCAGUUCGGAUUGCAGGCUGCAACUCGCCUGCAUGAAGUUGGAAUCGCUAGUAAUCGCGGAUCAGCACGCCGCGGUGAAUACGUUCCCGGGCCUUGUACACACCGCCCGUCACAUCACGAAAGCCGGCUGUACUAGAAGUCGCUGAGCCAACCCGCAAGGGAGGCAGGCGCCUAAGGUAUGGUCGGUGAUUGGGGUGAAGUCGUAACAAGGUAACCA
rnacentral:rRNA from 1 species